UAACGACUCUCGGCAACGGAUAUCUCGGCUCUCGCAUCGAUGAAGAACGUAGCGAAAUGCGAUACUUGGUGUGAAUUGCAGAAUCCCGUGAACCAUCGAGUCUUUGAACGCAAGUUGCGCCCUAAGCCGUUAAGGCUGAGGGCACGUCUGCCUGGGUGUCACA
rnacentral:rRNA from 1 species